rfam:Canis lupus familiaris chromosome 17, whole genome shotgun sequence.
CCAAAGGCUCUUUUAAGAGCCACCCACUCUGUCAAAUAAAAGGAGU